CCAUCGGUGGUUCAGUGGUAGAAUGCUCGCCUGCCACGCGAUUCGAUGCCGGGUUCGAUUCCCGGCCGAUGCA